rnacentral:tRNA from 1 species
GGAAGGAUAGCUCAGUGGUUAGAGUACUAGCUGGGCUAGGGAGCCUGAGCUAGGUUCAAUUCCUACCUCUGCCA